rnacentral:rRNA from 1 species
UACGUAGGGACCGAGCGUUGUCCGGAAUCAUUGGGCGUAAAGAGCGUGUAGGCGGCCACUUAAGUCCUGCGUGAAAUCUUGCGGCUCAACCGCAAGCGGUCGUGGGAAACUGGGUGGCUAGAGUGCGGGAGAGGAGAGUGGAAUUCCUGGUGUAGCGGUGGAAUGCGCAGAUAUCAGGAAGAACACCCGUGGCGAAGGCGGCUCUCUGGAACGCAACUGACGCUGAGACGCGAAAGCUAGGGGAGCAAACGGG